UUUGAUAAUGAAAUGUUUUACUGUUAGGAUGUAGAGUGAAGGAGGCUGAAUACAUCCGAGCUAGCCAUCCAACUCACUCACUCAGAACAGAGACGGGGGCCGACACAGGUUAUCUGACACCUACAACCUGGAGCUGCAAUCACAGCAGCUGUAGAUUGUCCAGCGUGCCCGGGUGGGAACGGCCCCAGGGGAAGGAUGUAGAUGGUACGACGCUGACGAUUCACUCUGUGUUGGGGGAACUCCUUUGUAAACCUGAAGGUGGAAAAAAGGGUCCGGAAGCACGGCCUUCUUGCGCGUCUCUGCGUCGGCCGGCGCGAACUUCGGGGAGAUCAUCCUCAUCAGCUCCAGAAUCUCGUCCUCCGUCAGACCCUGCAGCAGCUGGCGGAUACGCGCUGACUCCGACCGC